rnacentral:rRNA from 1 species
GACGAACGCUGGCGGCGUGCCUAAUACAUGCAAGUUGAGCGCUGAAGGUUGGUACUUGUACCGACUGGAUGAGCAGCGAACGGGUGAGUAACGCGUGGGGAAUCUGCCUUUGAGCGGGGGACAACAUUUGGAAACGAAUGCUAAUACCGCAUAAAAACUUUAAACACAAGUUUUAAGUUUGAAAGAUGCAAUUGCAUCACUCAAAGAUGAUCCCGCGUUGUAUUAGCUAGUUGGUGAGGUAAAGGCUCACCAAGGCGAUGAUACAUAGCCGACCUGAGAGGGUGAUCGGCCACAUUGGGACUGAGACACGGCCCAAACUCCUACGGGAGGCAGCAGUAGGGAAUCUUCGGCAAUCGACGAAAGUCUGACCGAGCAACGCCGCGUGAGUGAAGAAGGUUUUCGGAUCGUAAAACUCUGUUGGUAGAGAAGACCGUUGGUGAGAGUGGAAAGCUCAUCAAGUGACGGUAACUACCCAGAAAGGGACGGCUAACUACGUG